ACUGAGCUUCUCACCACAUUAUAAAUAAUUCCUGGAAAACAGGCAAUGAAUGAAAAGGAACCACGAGGGAGGUGGAGUUUUGUAUCCGAACAUAAUGCAGGGACGAUAGAACUAAAGCUGCUGUGUAAUCACUGGGACCAGGAUCCAGACAAGCAGGAGGAAGUGGAGUCUGCAAUCCCGGUGAGGCAUUGGAGCUGCCCAGCCUCAGGAAGGAGAAUUUAAGCCAGGUUUUUUAAACCUUUAAAGGUUCUGAAGCUAGCACUUCACUUUAUCCCAAAGAGCGUUGCAGAUCGAUGUGUUGUCUCCUGUCUCUGCUUGUUUCCUUCUGGAUCCCCUAGGCACAGACCUGCCUAAUCAAUUGGAGUUCCCAAAGGAGGGUGAACCGGAGAAACAGCAGGUCCUGGAAAGAAAAAUGACCAUCAGGGUGAAACCCUCUUUAAUUUACCUAAAGAAUAUCUGUAUUUGGUUUUUCUUCCAUCAGCACCUUCUAUUGAUGUAUGUCUGCACACUUGUCAUGCAGUGGAAGAGAAGUUACAUGUAUAAUGAUGUUGGUUGUAUCACUAUGUAAAAUAGCAAAAAAUUAGAAACUAUCUUUAUGGUCAUUGUGGAAGAUUGGUUAUAUAAACGAAGACAUAUAUGUUUUGACUAGGUGAUCAUUAAGGAAAAGGUAGAGGGAACAACAACAAAAGGACAAAAAUAUAUG